GCCAACCUGCUGUAGUGGUCUGAGUGUUAGACUAUGACUCUGGAGACCAGGGUUCAAAUCCCUGCUCAGCCA